rnacentral:rRNA from 1 species
GACGAACGCUGGCGGCGUGCUUAACACAUGCAAGUCGAACGGAAAGGCCCUUCGGGGUACUCGAGUGGCGAACGGGUGAGUAACACGUGGGUGAUCUGCCCUGCACUUUGGGAUAAGCCUGGGAAACUGGGUCUAAUACCGAAUAUGACCGCGCGCUUCAUGGGGUGUGGUGGAAAGCUUUUGCGGUGUGGGAUGGGCCCGCGGCCUAUCAGCUUGUUGGUGGGGUAAUGGCCUACCAAGGCGACGACGGGUAGCCGGCCUGAGAGGGUGACCGGCCACACUGGGGCUGAGAUACGGCCCAGACUCCUACGGGAGGCAGCAGUGGGGAAUAUUGCACAAUGGGCGCAAGCCUGAUGCAGCGACGCCGCGUGAGGGAUGACGGCCUUCGGGUUGUAAACCUCUUUCAAUAGGGACGAAGCGCAAGUGACGGUACCUAUAGAAGAGGGACCGGCCAACUACGUGCCAGCAGCCGCGGUAA